rnacentral:rRNA from 1 species
UACGUAGGGGGCAAGCGUUAUCCGGAUUUACUGGGUGUAAAGGGAGCGUAGACGGACUUGCAAGUCUGAUGUGAAAAUCCGGGGCCCAACCCCGGAACUGCAUUGGAAACUGUAUAUCUAGAGUGUCGGAGAGGCAAGUGGAAUUCCUGGUGUAGCGGUGAAAUGCGUAGAUAUCAGGAGGAACACCAGUGGCGAAGGCGGUCUGCUGGACAGCAACUGACGCUGAGGCGCGAAAGCGUGGGGAGCAAACAGG